CAGCAGCCGCGGUAAUACGGAGGAUCCGAGCGUUAUCCGGAUUUAUUGGGUUUAAAGGGAGCGUAGGUGGACAGUUAAGUCAGUUGUGAAAGUUUGCGGCNCAACCGUAAAAUUGCAGUUGAUACUGGCUGUCUUGAGUACAGUAGAGGUGGGCGGAAUUCGUGGUGUAGCGGUGAAAUGCUUAGAUAUCAGGAAGAACUCCGAUUGCGAAGGCAGCUCACUGGACUGCAACUGACACUGAUGCUCGAAAGUGUGGGUAUCAAACAGGAUUAGAUACCCUGGUAGUCCACACAGUAAACGAUGAAUACUCGCUGUUUGCGAUAUACAGUAAGCGGCCAAGCGANAGCAUUAAGUAUUCCACCUGGGGAGU
rnacentral:rRNA from 1 species